rnacentral:ncRNA from 1 species
GGCCUGAAACUGAACUGUCGCCAAUGGGCGGCUUGCCGUGAGGCUAGGUUUCGGGCCGCUC